GGGCCCAUAGUACAGCGGUAGUAUGUAUCCAUGGCAUGGAUAAGAUCAGGGUUCGACUCCCUGUGGGUCCACCA
rnacentral:tRNA from 1 species